rnacentral:lncRNA from 1 species
UUAGAUCAACCCUGACUAAUUAAGUUGUACACUUGUUUAGUUAGAAAUACAGUUAUAAUAUAAUAUAUUUUAUAUAACAUUACAUAUAGAUUUGGAAGAAUACGUUGUUUAAUUAUUAUGACUACUCUACCCAAAAAAGAAAACAUAAAUCAAGAAUAAUCGAACAUAUCUCUUGUAUCUUCACCAUCGUCUUCAUUGCAAUAUGAAUAGCAGGAAAAAAUUCUUGACCAUCUCCUUCAUUGCAAUAUGAGUAUCUUUGCAAUAUGAAUAGCAGGAAAAAAUUCUUGAUCAUCUCCUUCAUUGCAAUAUGAAUAUCUUCACCAUCGUCUUCAUUGCAAUAUGAGUAACAGGUGGGAUUAUAGAUCACCAUGUUUGGAUUGGUUAUACGGGGUAUGCUUUGGUAUUUCUGAUAGAUUAAGAGUAUGAUUGUC